UUCUGUGAUGCCUCUUAGAUGUUCUGGGCCGCACGCGCGCUACACUGACAGAGCCAGCGAGUACUCCCUUGGCCGGAAGGCCCGGGUAAUCUUGUUAAACUCUGUCGUGCUGGGGAUAGAGCAUUGCAAUUAUUGCUCUUCAACGAGGAAUCCCUAGUAAGCGCAAGUCAUCAGCUUGCGUUGAUUACGUCCCUGCCCUUUGUACACACC
rnacentral:rRNA from 1 species